GUGGCCCUGACUUGGAAAGCAAACCUCUCUGCAGCCACGGGACCCCCAACAGCAGCCUCACAGAGCCUGCCCCGGCCACCCUAGUCUGGGCUAACUGUCCUGCCUUCUCCUCCAAGAUUCCCUUGCCUGGGUCCCUCCUCCCUCGGCCUCACCACACUCCUCUGGGGACCCUGUGCUUGGACUCCACCCUUUCCUGUCCAGACCACUGUGAAGGCCUUUAGUCACCUCCUAGAGAAGCAAGAUUUUCAGCCCUGGCUUUCUACCCCCACACCCUACAGGACGUUUGAAAUCAGGAAGGAGUGUGGGUUGGAUCCACGUUUCUGUUCAUACCAGGCAGGCACAUCGGAAGGCUCACGGUCAGAGGAUGCUGGGACAAACGCCACGAGAGGUUCCUUUUUGUCUGGCUCACCCAGAAGAGAGGCUCCUCUCCUCCCUUCCCUGCAGCACAACGGCCUGGCUGGCACCCAAAGGGCAGCCGGCAUGGGCUGACCUCAGAGGAGCAAGGCGUGUUUGCAGCUCUGCCGCUCACAUCCACAGUGGCCAUGACAACAGGUGCAGCACCAUCCAUUAAAGCCCUGUGUCAUUUCACUUAAUUCUCACAACGACCCCCGGAGAAAGGGACUACUAUCCCCAUUUUCCAGAUGAAAAAGGAAAUUGGUCCUUAGAGUGAUCAUCCACCCAAGGCUAGUGACAGGGCUCAGAUUGGAACCCAAGGCCCUCCAAGAUCUCAAGUCACAGACAAAGAAAGCCCAUCUCUGACUUGGCAGGGGAAGGGGGAGGUCAC
rnacentral:lncRNA from 10 species